rnacentral:rRNA from 1 species
AGAGGAAGUAAAAGUCGUAACAAGGUUUCCGUAGGUGAACCUGCGGAAGGAUCAUUAACGAGUUAUUGAACAGGUUGUAGCUGGCCUUCAGGGGCAUGUGCACGCCUGGCUCAUCCACUCUUCAACCUCUGUGCACUUAUUGUAGGUCGGUGGAAGAGUAAGUCUAAGUGAUUAGACUUGCUUGGAAGCCUUCCUAUGUUUUUACAAACGCUUCAGUUUAAGAAUGUAUCUCUGCGUAUAACGCAUUUAUAUACAACUUUCAGCAACGGAUCUCUUGGCUCUCGCAUCGAUGAAGAACGCAGCGAAAUGCGAUAAGUAAUGUGAAUUGCAGAAUUCAGUGAAUCAUCGAAUCUUUGAACGCACCUUGCGCUCCCUGGUAUUCCGGGGAGCAUGCCUGUUUGAGUGUCAUGGUAUUCUCAACCUUCAUAACUUUUGUUAUCGAAGGCUUGGAUUUGGAGGUUGUGCUGGCUUCUCGUCAAGUCGGCUCCUCUUAAAAGCAUUAGCGUGAGUGUAACGGAUCGCUUCGGUGUGAUAAUUAUCUGCGCCGUGGUCGUGAAGUAACAUAAGCUUGCGCUUCUAACCGUCCUUCAGCUGGACAAAUUUACUCUGACAUCUGACCUCAAAUCAGGUAGGACUACCCGCUGAACUUAAGCAUAUCAAUAAGCGGAGGAAAAGAAACUAACAAGGAUUCCCCUAGUAACUGCGAGUGAAGCGGGAAAAGCUCAAAUUUAAAAUCUGAUAGUCUUUGGCUGUCCGAGUUGUAAUCUGGAGAAGCGUCUUCCGCGCUGGACCGUGUACAA